ensembl:lncRNA
UUGGAGUGGACGCACGUACAGAAGCGAAUGAGGGAGCUGCUGUCACAAAGCCCUGUUAUUGUGAGAACAGACCAAGAGAAGCUCCUGGCUCAGCUUGAAGAGGAGCUGGAGCAGAUCAGAGAGCUAGUCCAAGUGCAGCAACAGCUCCUAGAGGACAACGUAGUUCCUCCUCUUCCUGAUGUUCUGAUUGGCUCUUAUUAUCUAGAGGAGUGGGAGCAGCUUCAGGACAUGUGGGUGGAGCUUAACCAUCAGAGGCGUAGCUUCCAGCAAGAGAGGCAGGCUUUCACCGAUGCUGCAAUCCGACUGGGCCGUGAGAGGUGUGAGUUUGAGCAGCAGAAGGCCUCUCUCCUGAAGCAACAGUUCCUCUGUGAAUCUCCAGUAAGAAAGACCUCCCAUUCCAUCAAGGCAGUGGGAACACCAGACAAUGACGUACACACAGGCAAACAAGAUCCUGACGAGUAA